AUUGAACGCUGGCGGCAUGCUUUACACAUGCAAGUCGAGCGGCAGCGCGGGGGCAACCCUGGCGGCGAGCGGCGAACGGGUGAGUAAUGCAUCGGAAAGUAUCCCCGAGUGGGGGAUAACCCAGCGAAAGUUGGGCUAAUAACGCAUGAGCUCUGCGGAGGAAAGCGGGGGACCUGCGAGGGCCUCGCGCUGGAGGAGCGGCCGAUGUCCGAUUAGCUAGUUGGUGGGGUAAAGGCUUACCAAGGCGACGAUCGGUAGCUGGUCUGAGAGGAUGAUCAGCCGCACUGGGACUGGGACACGGCCCAGACUCCUACGGGAGGCAGCAGUGGGGAAUUUUGGACAAUGGUGGCAACCCUGAUCCAGCCAUGCCGCGUGAGUGAAGAAGGCCUUCGGGUUGUAAAGCUCUUUCGGGCGGAACGAAAUGGGCGGGACUAAUACUCCUGUCUGAUGACGGUACAGGAAGAAGAAGCACCGGCUAACUACGUG
rnacentral:rRNA from 1 species